UACGAAGGGGGCUAGCGUUGCUCGGAAUGACUGGGCGUAAAGGGCGCGUAGGCGGAUGGCACAGUCAGAUGUGAAAUUCCCGGGCUUAACCUGGGGGCUGCAUUUGAUACGUGUGAUCUAGAGUGAGGAAGAGGGUCGUGGAAUUCCCAGUGUAGAGGUGAGAUUCGUAGAUAUUGGGAAGAACACCGGUGGCGAAGGCGGGGUCUCUGGGACGGUACUGACGCUGAGACGCGAAAGCGUGGGGAGCGAACAGG
rnacentral:rRNA from 1 species